CAGUUGUUACAGAGCUCGCUGGAGACUUCCUUCUCCCUGUGGCAUUUUCCCCGCUCCUCUGGCCGCCGAAGGAGUCCUGUGGUGCCGGGCAGGAAUGGGCUGCUUGGGGACCCAACGAGCUCCCAGAGCCUUUCCUGCUGCUUCCUCUACCCCUGUGUUUCGCUAGGCUCUCGAGAUGGACUCAGUUCCAGAUUGCCCAGCCUCACAUAUUCCUUCAUAGCAACACAAAGGGACUGAGACAAUAUAUAAGUUAACAUCUGCCAUGUAGUGGAGGUUCCAGAGAAAAAGUGAGAGAAGCUGAGUCUGCACCCUCAACAUGGAGGAAAUAAGCUCUCUUAGGACCAAGAACAGAGGACAGAGGAAGGACUCCAGCAUGAUGGGCACCAAGGGAUUUUGGUCCUUCUGAGAAAGAGGAGUCUUUUUCAGAACUAUUUGAAAACAAGUUGCAGUCAUGAUGCCUCACUACUCCUAAAUGCUAUGCAGUUCCAACAAUGUGUCUUUGCCUUCUGGCCCCAGAAUAUCAUCUGGGAAUGCGUGUUGCAUCAAGUUGCGUCUCUCCAGUUGCCUCCAAUUUGGAAUACAGAGACAGGGUCUUCCUCUUUGCCUAAGCUGGAGCGCAUUGGUGUGAUCAUCGCUCACUGCUGCCUCAAACUCCUGGGCUCAUGCGACCCUCCCACCUCAGCCUCCUGACUAGUUGGGACUACAGAAUUGGUUCCUUCCAGUGAGUUCUUGGUCUCGCUGACUUCAAGAAUGAAGCCACAGACCUGUGCGAUGAGUGUUACAGCUCUUAAAGAUGGUGUGUCCAGAGUUUGUUCCUUCAGAUGUUCAGAUGUGUCCGGAGUUUCUUCCUUCUGGUGGGUUUGUCCUCUCGCUAACUUCCAAGAAUGAAGCCGUGGACGUUCACAGUCAAGAUCUAAGCAAACACACAAAUGUGAACAACAGGGAAAGAACCCAUUGACCUACCAAGACAGGCUGCCAACAGAAUUUUGAAGGCUUGCCAAGAUGCUUUUAUGGAGGUAGAGUGAAUGAGAUUCCGUAAGUGCAAAAUAAUCCUUUUAAGACUACCCAGAAAGUAAUAUAAGUGAACUAGUUAUAUAAGAUUCAGUGAGGACUACCAAAACAUUGGGAAGAAAUGUGGAUUUUAUCAUUCAAGGAAAUAUAAUUUUAUUGUAAGAUAUAAUCUUUGUUUUUGUAGUCAAAUAGAAACAUUCAUGCCUUAAUACAACGUUUGGUAAAAAGAACUGAAGAAGACACCAUAGAAGAUUUUAACAAACAAUGAACUCAUUAGCUAAAAGAUUUGUCAUGAAAUAAUGAUUGAUUUAGUUGUUUUCUAAAAUAUUUCUAGUGCCUAUUAGAUGUUGAAGGAGACUUUGAUCAUGAAGUGUGUUCUCUGAGGAGCUGCUAUUUUUAUUUUUAUAUUUGUUUGAAGUGAAUUGUCCUGCUAAUUCUUUAACAUAAAAUAUCUUCAAUUACAUGAUUCAACAUUUUAAAAAGUGAUUAAGACAGAAGAAUAUGUGCUGGGAUUUAUUUUUGGAUCUUUGAAGUAGCAAAGAGUAGCAGAACUCCUUAAUCCAUAGAGUGGUUAUUUUGCUGUAUGAUGACUCUUGUAUUUACUCCCUGAAUUACCCUUUCCACUAAAAAGUAUUAAUGAGACAUUAGUAGGCUAUAGAAAAAAAUACUUCUGAUCUACUUAGAAAUAUUCAUGAGGUUUUCUCCUGGUGGAUUCACAUCAAAUUUUAUUUUUUAAAACCCCAAGUAUUUUUAUUUGAUGAUUAAUAAGUAAGAUGGAGGCUGGUAGGUGGAAAUCGCCAGCAGGAAAAUAAAAUGCUUUGGCUAAGCCGACAACUGCUACUGUCCUCCUCUGUACAGACUCUCCUGCUGAAGACUCACGGAGGCUUAUUUCAAGUCUUCUUUAGUUCAUUACCUGCAUGUUCAAAUGGAGCUGGUACUGUGACUCACAGCUUUCUGUCCAAGAAUGCGAUUUGUACCUCUACAAAUCUUCUACACCUUCUUCAUCUAGUAAACACUUACUCUACAGGUCUCAUCUCAAAUCUAUUACUAUAUGCAACUAUAGUACAUAAGCAAGCCAUUUAAAAAUGUUAAAGGAAGAUAUGCAUUGAUAUGGGUUGGCUGUUUUCCCACCCAAAUCUCAUCUUGAAUCGUAGCUCCCAUAAUCCACACGUGUCAUGGGAGGGACCCAAUGGAAGGUAAUUAAAUAAUCGGGGUGGGUUUUUCCCAUGCUGCUCUCAUGAUAGUAAAUAAGUCUCAUGAAAUCUGAUGGUUUCAUAAUAUAAAGGGCAGUUCCCCUGCACAUGCUCUCUUGCCUGCCACCAUGUAAGAUGGGCCUUUGCUCCUCCUUUGCCUUCUGCCAUGAUUGUGAGGCCUCUCCAGCCAUGUGGAACUGUAAGUCCAUUAAAUCUCUUUUUCUUUAUAAAUUACCCAGUCUUGGAUAUCUCUUCAUAGGAGUGUGAAAAUGGACUAAUAGAUACAUAUAGGUACACAUACAUGUAUACAUAAAGCCAUUCCAAAAGACUUUGCUUCCUGAAGUUUGUAAAUGUAAACAAAUUUAUUGUACCAUCAUUUAGGUUACUACGUUGCUCACUAACAUAGAAACAAUAUCUAAAAUGGGUACUUAUAGGGUUAUUAAAAUAUAGUAUGAAUAUGGCUACUGGAAAAAAGUCAAAGAUAUAUUUUGAGGCCACUACUCUACGUCUCUUGAUGUUCUCUUGUACACAUUUGAUAUUGCACAAAAGCCAAAAGUUUGGACUCCUUUGAUUAAAGGCAAGGUCAAGUAAUCCUGCUGGUUCUACCUCUCCUCCCAUUUCUUAAAUGAAAGGAUGUAGUCAUAUAAGGUGCUGUUUAGUAAAAUGGUGCCGUGAAUUCAGCAUGAAAUGUCUGGGCAAGUGUUUUUCAAGUUGUCACAUAUAUACUAUAUUUAUCUUCCUCCUUUUCCCUCCUCAACCUCAGUCCCCAUCACCCAGUGUUUCAUAAGGUUUUACUUUCUGUAGCUUAUACUGUAAAACCAGGAGUUCCCUUCCUCCUCUCCCAAAUAUAACCUUUUCUAAUAAUAUUAAUUGCACUUUCCCUAACUAUACAUACCUCCCUGGAGAUUUUGAACUGUAAUUCUUUCUCUCCUCCAUUUUCCUUGAGCAUUUUUCAUCUAGUGGAAUAUUCGGUGGCAAAGCUCUCAUUCUGGAAGAAGUUUAGCCAUGUAAGCAUAGAAGAAAUAAGCCAACAAUGGUAAACAUAGUUAAUGCAUGUAGUUAAGUCUUCUAAACAUGUCACUUGAAUGAUGUCACAUUUUGCUUUUUCAAACUAGGAAUCAACAAAAUGGAGGAACAUUUGAGGUUUGUUAAGAAAUUUCCCUUCUUAGCCAUAGAACUAAGAUAUUUUUAAAUAAAGAAGAUCAUAGUGGGCCAUAAAUGAUGUGCCUUUCUAGGAUCCCAAAAUGUUUUAUUGAUUGAAUUAUAUAGAGAGAUUUAAUGGAACCGUGGUUGAAAAAUGCUUUUAAAGUCUUUGAUCACUGGGAUAUCAAUGGAACAAAUGGGUUAAAACAUUUUCAGAAUUUAAUCAUUUAUCUAGGUAACAGGGUUGGGGGUAAAUGGCGGGAGAGAAGGGGAGGGCCGGGGCAUUAAUGAAUAGUACUCCAUGUAAAAAGAAGAAUUGACUAGUAACAUCUGUACUAUUUAAAUUAACAGGCUGGCAUAUAUUGUUGUGCAGGUUUUGCAUUGCCCAAUUCUUGGGGGGGGCGGCAUUCACAUUUGUAGUCAUUAUGGGUUCCUCUAUUUAUAAUGCCAAUUUUCUAGCAGAUGUUGGUUUAUUGCCUUGAGAAACUGUUAGAUUCCUCUAAUUUUUGCAAAGAUGGCUUUGGGAAGUUGAAAGAUUACCUGAUUACUAUUAGAGAAUCCUGCUACCAAUACAUACUUGUCUUGUAUAAUUUGGGCAAAAUAUAAUAUUCCUGAAUCUUAGAUUCCUUGUUUGUAAAAUGUUUAAAAUAUAUCUAAAUGUAAGAAUUGUUGUAGCAUAUAUAUGUGAGUACAUGAAUGUGGCCGUCACAGCAGCUGUAAGUGGAAGAUAUUAUAAAUAUUGUUAAAACCUUCUGAUGUUUUAUUUUAAGCUGAUAGUUUUUCUUUAUGCUGACUUUACAGUGAGUUUUAAACAUACACUUGAGUUUAUCAUUUGUAUAUAACUACUGAUAGAAAUCUGAUGAAAAACACUAAUAGUAGUUUAUAAAAGAUUUUUUUCAAUAUGAACUUUUUGUUUCCAUUGUGAGAAAUUAAAUUUCAAAAUGUAAUUAUUAAAUGUAUGCCUGACUUUCAAAUGUUUUUCUAUAUCCAGCUAAUUAAAAAUAUUUAUAACGUAGUAGUAGUUAAAUGUCAUGUUCGCCUUAUUAGAAAGAAUGCCUUCAAAUCAGUAUUAUCAUGAUUACCAUUUAUUUAACAUCUUCAGUAUGCAGGGCAUUUAUAAAAUCUGUAGAAAUUAAUUUUCUCUAAAUGCAACAAGCUUUAUGACCAGCACUCACUGUCUAUAAAAGAUGACUUGCUUGGCAGAAGAGGAAACAGUUUCUUCAGACCUUCCAGCCACAGUCAGCCCUGGUGACAUUGCAUAUCAGCUUCUAAAGGGCCUCGCACAUUCCUUGGCUUGUGAUGUCCCUUCCCCAUCAUCAAAGACAGCAACGAAACUUCAGGCUACCAUACCUGCUUCAACUGUAGGAGAAUCUUAGUUCUGGAGAGUUGACCCUCCAGGCGAAGCAUUAGGCUUUGAUACAAUUUGUCUGGUACCGGCUGUAGAUCUGGUUUGGGCCCCAGACUAUCUUCCCUGUCCUCAAGAAUCAAAACCAACUUGGAAUGACUCCUGGCCCACUCAGCACCUUUCCGGAAGCCAGAAGAAUGAAGUGCCACACAUAUCAUCAGAGAGAAUUCCAAGGAAGAGGGAAUGGUCUAUAGUGUCUCAAGCCACAUUAAUCCUUCAAGAACAGUGUUAACUUUCUCAGGCUACUGGAACUCCACUUUUUGGAACUGUUAUAUUUACUGUUGGGGAGUGACUUUGGCACCAAGGAGAACUUGGCUCAAAUGAAUGGUUUUGGAUCACACAUCUUCAUGAUUUGGGAAUGAUAUGUGUGUUUAUUUUAUGAAAAAUGUUAGUAAUGAAGCAUUUAAAAUAUAUCAAAAGGAAAAUCUCCAAGAGUUGGUGAAUCAUGCUGUUGCCAAUAAUAGGCAUGUGACAUAACUGAACAUUUCAUCAUCUUCAGUAAAUAAUCAAGAUGAGAUGACAUGCUGGGUCUGUGAUCACCAGGGAUCCAAAUGCCUUCGAUCUUGGUGCUGG
rnacentral:lncRNA from 1 species